rnacentral:rRNA from 1 species
GGAGGGCAAGUCUGGUGCCAGCAGCCGCGGUAAUUCCAGCUCCAAUAGCGUACAUUAAAGUUGCUGCAGUUAAAAAGCUCGUAGUUGGAUUUCUGCCGAAAGUAGCUGUUCCGCUUCUGCGUGUAACAAGCUUACCAAGGCAUCCUUCCACCUGAGGCUUCGGCCGAUUGUGGAUAGUUUACUUUGAGAAAAUUAAAGUGUUUAAAGCAGGC